rnacentral:lncRNA from 1 species
CAGAGAUUUUUUAAACUCAGUCUUAUAAAUCGCAUAAGACUUUUUCUUUUCUACCAAGGUCGAUAGAUUGCAUCUAGGUGUAUUCUACUCCAAACAGCGACGAGAAGACCAUUGAUGAGUGAGUAGAUAUUCAAAUGGUUUCUCGUGUUGGUCACGCUCAGUGCAAGUUAUUCUCAAACAACCGUCUGCACUCUCAUCCCAGUAUCUCUACACCGCAGACUCGAGACUCAUCUAUUUUAAAGGG